UACGGAGGGCGCGAGCGUUAAUCGGAAUUACUGGGCGUAAAGCGCGCGUAGGCUGUUGUGUAAGUUGGGGGUGAAAUCCCACGGCUCAACCGUGGAACAGCCCUUGAUACUGCGCGACUUGAAUCCGGGAGAGGGUGGCGGGAUUCCAGGUGUAGGAGUGAAAUCCGUAGAUAUCUGGAGGAACAUCAGUGGCGAAGGCGGCCACCUGGACCGGUAUUGACGCUGAGGCGCGAAAGCGUGGGGAGCAAACAGG
rnacentral:rRNA from 1 species